rnacentral:snRNA from 1 species
GUUCAUUCCUGAACAUAUACUAAAAUUGGAACAAUACAGAGAAGAUUAGCAUUGCUCAUGCGAUGGAUGACACGCAAAUUCGUGAAACGUUUCAAAAAUUU